rnacentral:misc_RNA from 1 species
GAUGAAGAACGCAGCAAAAUGCGAUAAGUGAUGUGAAUUGCAGAAUUCAGUGAAUCAUCGAAUCUUUGAACGCACAUUGCGCCCGCUGGUAUUCCGGCGGGCAUGCCUGUUCGAGCGUCAUUUCAACCCUCAAGCCCCCGGGUUUGGUGUUGGGGAUCGGCUCUGCCCUUCUGGGCGGUGCCGCCCCCGAAAUACAUUGGCGGUCUCGCUGCAGCCUCCAUUGCGUAGUAGCUAACACCUCGCAACUGGAACGCGGCGCGGCCAUGCCGUAAAACCCCAACUUCUGAAUGUUGACCUCGGAUCAGGUAGGAAUACCCGCUGAACUUAAGCAUAUCAAUAAGCGGAGGA